rnacentral:rRNA from 1 species
UACGGGGGGGGCAAGCGUUGUUCGGAAUUACUGGGCGUAAAGGGCCCGUAGGCGGCCAACUAAGUCAUACGUGAAAUCCCUCAGCUUAACUGGGGAACUGCGUGUGAUACUGGAUGGCUUGGAUUUGGGAGAGGGAUGCGGAAUUCCAGGUGUAGCGGUGAAAUGCGUAGAUAUCUGGAGGAACACCGGUGGCGAAGGCGGCAUCCUGGACCAAUAUUGACGCUGAGGAGCGAAAGCCAGGGGAGCAAACGGG